rnacentral:lncRNA from 1 species
AUCUAUCUGUGAGGUGGAGGGCCUGUUAGCAAGACUCCAUAUCACUUUGCUGAGAGGUUUUUUUCCUUUUUUCCUUUUCACCCAGUAAAUUCCUCUCUAAUCACCCUUCAACAUGUCUGUGCACCCAAUCCUUCCUGGUCAUGUGACAAGAACUUGUUUUUUUCUACAUUUUUGGUGGCCUGUAUGGGGACAUGGGAAAAGUGUAGGGCAUGAGUUCCUGGCUGCCCCAUAAGGAAGGAAACUGCCAGAAGCCCUUUAGAAUGAAGAAAAGUGAGAAGAUUCUUGGAAAGUGGACUGAGCUUUUAACUCUGCAAGGGACCCUCAGCCCUCUUGGCAUACUGAAGUGAACACUCUGCAGCUAAGCACCACUGAAUCCAGCAGGACUUGAGACUUCAUCAUCUGCCAAAAAUGAGCUUUCCUAACAACAUGGGACCUAUUUGUCUAAAAAUAAACUGUCCUAGCCACAAGAGAUGAGACAAAACCCAAGACCACAGACUCAUUUUCUUCUAAAAUGCUCUGUCUGAAAGAUUUUAAGAAGAAAACGGGAGAGAAAUAUAAAAAGAAAAUAAAAACUUGGGACCCCAAUUCACUAUGCCAAAAGGGAAAAAAUUAAGCUGAAAGCUGAGUAAUGCAAGAAGCUGCCUUUCUUUUUGUUCCUAAGCAAAUAGCUACAGAUAAAAGGUUUAGUAUCUCCACAGGUAGCUACUCUAGGUUCACUUUAUCUUAUGUAAAGUGCUGAUUUGCAGAGCAUGAGAUGAAUACAUAGUUGACCCUUCCCCUAACCGCUCCUUUUCUCUUGCAAUAUGUGGAUUCAGUAAUGUGACCAUACCCUACCUCUUUCCCCUCCAGCCUGCUUUUCCCCAUUAAAUAUUGAAGCCCUCAAAAUAAUACUUGGAGAAAGGCAUAGACAUAUCACCCAGGUGGGUCCUUAACCUUUGCAAAAUAAACUUCUAAAUUGAUUGAGA